GCUAAACUGGCAUGGCUGCGUAGCCCCGGGCUGUGCUGGGCCAGCUGUGCUGGCAGAAGGGAAGGGAUAUGGAAAUGCAGUUGCUCAGACCCGCUGUGGUUCCGGGACAGUUUUGCCAGACUC